AAUGAGUAGUCAUAAUAUGAGAAGCCCAAGCCACAUGGGGAGACCACAUGGAGAACUAACUUGCCUCUGUCAAUCCCAUAUGAUCUCCCUGCCAAGUGCCAGCAUCAAAUGCCAACCAUCCGCUCUACAGUAAGGUAAAUAAGUCAUUUAGUCAGGAACUCUGCACAUUUACCUCUGCAUUUAUCAAAUAUUUGUUGAAGGAAAUAAUAAAAGAAGUGAGGAGGAAGAAGAGGUUUCCUGGGAGAAAGCACUCGAGGAGCAAUAGGUGUCCUCUUUCAUUUCCACUAAAUAUGCUGCUCAAUGCCUUGUGGCAUAACAGAAUCAAAACUUUUCAGAUGCCCUGCCGCUUUAACAAGACCCAGGAUAUGUCAAAAUGGCUCCCACAGAACUUUCAUUUGAUCUUAUCUUUCGCUGUCACACACAUCGACCUGCAUUUUCUUUUUUCUUUUUGAUUCUUUAUGUCUGCAAAUGAACUGAUGUAAUUAAAAAGGUGAAGAAAUAA
rnacentral:lncRNA from 1 species